rnacentral:tRNA from 1 species
AGCGGGUUAAGUUAUUUAGACUGGGUAUUUUCAAAAUACUUUGAGGGAUUUUGUUU